AGUGAACGCUGGCGGUAGGCCUAACACAUGCAAGUCGAACGGCAGCACAGUAAGAGCUUGCUCUUACGGGUGGCGAGUGGCGGACGGGUGAGGAAUACAUCGGAAUCUACUUUUUCGUGGGGGAUACGUAGGGAAACUUACGCUAAUACCGCAUACGACCUACGGGUGAAAGCAGGGGAUCUUCGGACCUUGCGCGAUUGAAUGAGCCGAUGUCGGAUUAGCUAGUUGGCGGGGUAAAGGCCCACCAAGGCGACGAUCCGUAGCUGGUCUGAGAGGAUGAUCAGCCACACUGGAACUGAGACACGGCCCAGACUCCUACGGGAGGCAGCAGUGGGGAAUAUUGGACAAUGGGCGCAAGCCUGAUCCAGCCAUACCGCGUGGGUGAAGAAGGCCUUCGGGUUGUAAAGCCCUUUUGUUGGGAAAGAAAUGCAGCAGGUUAAUACCCCGCUGUUCUGACGGUACCCAAAGAAUAAGCACCGGCUAACUUCGUG
rnacentral:rRNA from 1 species